rnacentral:rRNA from 1 species
UCGAGAAUUUUUCACAAUGGGGGCAACCCUGAUGGAGCGACGCCGCGUGGAGGAUGAAGGUUUUCGGAUUGUAAACUCCUGUCAUGAGGGAACAAGAAAGUGAUAGUACCUCAAGAGGAAGAGACGGCCAACUCUGUGCCAGCAGCCGCGGUAAUACAGAGGGUGCAAGCGUUAAUCGGAAUUACUGGGCGUAAAGCGUGCGUAGGCUGUUUGAUAAGUUAGGUGUGAAAUCCCUGGGCUUAACCCGGGAAUUGCAUUUAAGACUGUCAGGCUAGAGUAUGGCAGAGGGAGGCGGAAUUUCCGGUGUAGCGGUGAAAUGCGUAGAUAUCGGAAGGAACACCAGUGGCGAAGGCGGCCUCCUGGGCCAAUACUGACGCUGAGGCACGAAAGCGUGGGGAGCAAACAGG